rnacentral:ncRNA from 1 species
CUCUGUUCCCAUGGGGAUCAGGGCGGAAAGAG